GUAGCCACAACAACCAAUACAACACUGAUUACCAACACCACAGUGAUCGUUCUUGGGACGCCUGUUGGCCGGACCGGAUGUGGGACCCAACAGAUCUGUGGGUCUGAGCCCUCUGACUGUGACCCCUCAUCAUCUUCAUCAUCGUGUUUCUUUGUUUCUGCCAAGCAGAGGGACGGUCAGAACUUUGAGUUUUCCAUCUCAGGGGAGUCAAGUGGCUACAUCGCUGCCACGGUGUCAGCUGACACCACAGUGGGAGGUAACGACACAACCUACGUCUGUGCCAACAAUAAUGGCAAAGUGAAAUUCUUCAGCGCUCUCCUCGACAACGACAAGCUGAC